CAGCUGUUUAAACUUUUUUCGCAACCUUUUCUCCACGUUACGCCCUCGCAAAUAGUCAAAAACGUUCUUAACAAAGCCUGCCGAAACACUUAAGUACAAGAGUGUUGUGCUUUCAAAGCAGUGAAUAAACUAAACGUUGGAAAAUUAAAAAAGAAACAGGGUAACCCAGUUCGAACGAGAGGACGUGGUGUUUGUUUAUCGUAACGGUACUGACAGGAGGCGUGACGAGGACGCUGAUCCAGUGGACCUGGUGCCAGUAAGGAUGGUCGUCACGGAGACGAUAAGACCGUCCAGGAUAGAGAAAUCCUUCGACUUCACUGCCUCUUCAAUGACAACACCACAUCCAAUGACUGUGAUCUGAGGACCCUUUUUUUAGCAGCGAGGGAGUAACGUGCUUGGCCCUAACUGCUGCGCCAAAUGUCUGGCCGUCAACCUCCCUCUCCUUAUGAUGUGCCAGUUGGGGUUUGGUACACUGUCCCAACUGUUGCCUGUUGUAUAGCAUCCUGCUGCUCCACCGACAUCGACAUGCUCCAGGUGCCUUUAAAAAAAGAAAUGUUUGGUACAGACAUGCCAUUCCACUGAACCUGCCCCAGAGAUGGUUCCCUAGCCACUGAAGAUCCUCCUCUGUGGGCUCUAGGGACAGAGACUUAGUCGUCUUCGGCCGGGUAAAGAUCCUCCACGGACUGCAUCUGGUUGGGCACAAGUGGCUUCCUCCACUCACAUUACACAUCCAUACAGCCGAUAUUGUGAACCGCAAAAGUAGCCAAUGCAGUUGCAUGGCUGCACUUGGGAGCUCCAUGGGAGUAUUCACAUGUGGUAGAGAGAAUCCCCUGGUCACCUAUAGAGACCUGCCAAGAGGAAAGUGCUAUAUGCAUGACUUUGAACACCUUGAAAUGCAUUUGUUGUAAGAAAUGUGCUAUAUUUAUUGAACAAAAAUGUAAACAAUCAUACAAUUUCAACGAUUCUGAGUUACAGCUCAAAUAUAAGGAAAUAAUUGCAUCAUUGCAAUUGAAAUAGUCAUUAGGCCCUUCCCACAUGACUGGGAAGGGGCGCAGCCUUGGGUGGGCAUAGGCCCAGCCAAUCAGAAUGAGUUUUUCCCCACAAAAGGGCAUUAUUACAGACAGAAAUACUCCCCAGUAUCAUCAGCUGCAGAAAAGCCAGCAAAUUCACAUGCAAUAAGUAAAUGUUCAUCUACUGACUGGUUUAUGCUACAGAGUGGACAGUGUUGUCCCCAGUGAUGCCAGUUUGAUUUUUUGAAGCUUAAUGUUUGAGAUUUCAUCCCAGCAUUUAGAAUGUGAGGUUCUGAGGCUUAUAAUUUUCAUGUUCAUGUUCAUGGUUUCAG
ensembl:lncRNA